ensembl:ncRNA F32A6.13 ncRNA
UGGUACCUUCUGGAUAGAAAAACUCUCUGCACUCAUUGGAUAUCAUCUCAGGCGUGUAAAUGUCGACAAAGUGUUGGACAAGGUCAGGAAACCAGCAGUCAGCUCUCGAAUAUAUGUGUAUGU